rnacentral:rRNA from 1 species
UACGGGGGGGCAAGCGUUGUUCGGAAUUACUGGGCGUAAAGGGCUCGUAGGCGGCCAACUAAGUCAGACGUGAAAUCCCUCGGCUUAACCGGGAACUGCGUCUGAUACUGGAUGGCUCGAGUUUGGGAGAGGGAUGCGGAAUUCCAGGUGUAGCGGUGAAAUGCGUAGAUAUCUGGAGGAACACCGGUGGCGAAGGCGGCACUCG